rnacentral:lncRNA from 1 species
CUGUAUAGAGUAUCAGUUGUUGAACAUGUGAGAUGCCCCUGAAGAAACAAAAUAUCAUCUUACAUAGUCUGUAUAAAUAAAGUGAUAGGCAUUCUCUUAUCUGUAAAUGUCCACACAUCCUGUGAUUUCACAUUAACAGGAAACGGAGGAUAGAAAUCCAAAAUGGGCUCCAAGAUGUUGGAGACCAAAAUAGUGUUUCUGGCGAAAUCCAAAACUUUGGAAUAGUGUCUGGUGGAAAACUUAUGAGAAAGAAAACACAAAACAAAGUACGGAAACAACAGUUGAAUUUCGAUUUUUUUAAUUUGUUUUAUUAAAAAAACUAAUUUUCUAGGGUCACGGCGAG